rnacentral:rRNA from 1 species
GACGUAGGGCGCGAGCGUUGUCCGGAUUUAUUGGGCGUAAAGAGCUCGUAGGCGGCUUGUCACGUCGGGCGUGAAAGACCGGGGCUUAACCCCGGUUCUGCAUUCGAUACGGGCUAGCUAGAGUGUGGUAGGGGAGAUCGGAAUUCCUGGUGUAGCGGUGAAAUGCGCAGAUAUCAGGAGGAACACCGGUGGCGAAGGCGGCAUCCUGGACCAAUAUUGACGCUGAGGAGCGAAAGCCAGGGGAGCAAACGGG